GGGCACGUGUGGACCCGGGGCGCCGGUUACAGUGAUGAUCCUUUGCCCGUGGCUUCAGGAACCCGGUGUGAGUCCGGGGCGGUUCCGCCACUGUGAACCUCCAUGACGGAGGUCAGCCAGACACUGGUCUCGGGCGAUCCGACCGC
rnacentral:ncRNA from 2 species